rnacentral:ncRNA from 2 species
UUGUAAGGCUUUUCGUUAGGUAACAUAAGCGUUUCAAAAGGGAAUGCCGUGUAAAUCGGCAACAGUACCCGCUGCUGUGAUUCUUAAUGAACCGUAGGCAAUGCAUAAGCAAGCCACUGUUGUUUGGAAGCAAUGGGAAGGUGCCUGCGGGAGAGAUCAGUCAGAAGACCUGCCACGAGAAGCAGAUCCAA